ACUGUUUGCUGUUUACUUAAGGACUUAGGUCAUUUUGGACUUAGUGUGUUAAAGGGGAGGAUUGAAGAACUUUGGUUUACAUUGUUGUGUUUCAUUCUGUAUGAUCUUGCACAGAGUAGGUCGUCAGUAACUGCUCCAUCCUUGAGAAGCACCAGGAAGGAAUCUGCACUCUCUCAGACAUCUAACCACUUCAUUGAUGAGCUGCCUCCACCAGUCCAAGAGCUGCUGGAUGAAAUUGAAUGUUUAAAGCAGCAAGAUUCCACCACUCAAGACCUCAAAGAGGAGGCGCUGUAUGACUGUGGCAUGCCAAUAGAAGUUUCUGAUCCAUUUAAAAUAGAGGACAGAGAGGCAAAAAAGGAAACGGAGAGAAAUGAGAAGAGAGGUAAUAGCUUAUGGACUGAAGAGCCAUUAAAUCUAGCAGAGGAAACAGAAAGGGCUCAUUCUACUCUUGAUGAUAUUUUAGAAAGAAUGCUUCAUACAAUUCCUGAAGAUGAGGAGAACCAAGAACAAGCUCAGGUGCACACUCUUAGGUUAGCUGGUAAUUUAUACUUUGUUCUUAAAUUUAUCUUAUGUUCUGUGCACAGACUUAUGUGA
rnacentral:lncRNA from 1 species